ensembl:lncRNA
GCUUCACAGCAUAAAACCCUCCUUCAGUUAACAUGAGUCUGGCAUGACUGCUGGCAGCAGAUAGGCUGGUUUGCGAGAGUUCGGUCAGAAAGAUGGAUGAGCAGCAGUUGUUUGGAUGGACACUCUUUGCUGAUGCCAGAGUUCAGAGUCCUCCAUCCGAUCUCCACGCUCUGACUCUGACAGUACUCAUCUUCAUUUGGUUUAACGGAAGAGCUCAUGCUCACUUCUCCUACCUGCCUGCCUCCCUGCCACAGUUACUGAAUACCACGGAUCAUCACUGGCUGGAACCAUCACCGCCGCACUCGCUCCACUUACCCCUCUCAUGCCAGUCCUUCACCUGCAAUAAUGACCCGAAGGCUCCUGGUUUCGUUCCCCGGCCUGACUCCCCUUUUCCCCACGCCACAGACUUUCAUGUGUAUAUAGUUUCCUAGUACUCCACGUUUAUUGUACACUUCAUGUUUGCUACUCCUUAGAAUCUCACAUAUGUUUCAUAGCUCACGUAGCAUCAUAGUUGUAAUUCUCUGUUUGUAAAUAAAGUCUUGUAAUCACGUUUACCAGUGCCUCCGUUUGUAUCUGCAAUUGAGUCCGUUUAUCACUGUCAUAGCAAGAAAAAAUACUUUUCUUAUUUAUAUACACAAAUAUAUAAAUAAAGAAACCAGAGGUCAUCACUGGAGCAUGUGAGAGGGUAACUUAGCUUAAGCCCUGUUGGUACAACCAGCCUCUGUACAUUACCUCUGUUCUCUCACAUGGUGGUGUUUAAAUCCAUGUGUGGUGUUUCCGUAAUAAAGUGGCGAACACUCCCAGAGUCUUAAUGGGAAACCAUCACUGAAUGGAAGAUUGGAGGGCAGCCACAGAGUUCAUCAGGUUCAAACAAUAAACACACACUAGAAUUAGUAUUUGUAUGUAUGUAUGUAUAUAGUACAAAUUAGUCAUGUAUACUAUUUUAUUGAUUUCUGUAUUUUAAGCAUCUCUCUCUCUCUCUCUCUCUCUCUCUCUCUCUCUCCCUCUCUCUCUCUCAAAGACUAUUGAACAUUCUGAGAUAAAUGCAUUUCUCUCCUCUGCAAUGUGAAGGUGUUAUUGCUUCAAACAUAAAGGACCCUUUAGUGUGCUGAGCCACUGUCAAAGUGCUGCAGUCUCUGAGAGGCUAUACAACCUUUAUACUGUGUGAACAUACAUGGAGUGCGAUGCGAUCUCCUCUUAGGGGAAUGCUUGUCCUCCGAACACUUUAGAGGCAUUGUCUUUGCAGAGAUUGCAGGUUUUUGGUGCCAUGUGCAUUUCUUCAAGCAGUAAAAACAGAAACUUUGAAGUUAAGAUAAAUAAAACCAGAUACUGAUUCUAGGGUGAGAUUUACUAGUGUUUCUAUUAAAAAUGCUCAAAACGGUUUUGUUUGUGGGACUUUUUUUAGCUUUCUGUCAGUUUUUCCUGAUUACACCCUUGCUUCUAUGGAAGUGCUGCUGCAUGACAAGCAGAAUAACAACAAUCCCUACAGAAAUGACAUACAGACCAUGCAGAUAAUCAAAAAGCAGAAACUGAUGGGAAUAACAAAAAAAUACAUCUUAUCAUACACAGUAUGAGACAAGAGGACAAUUAAGAUGCUUCAAGGAAAGGAUUUGAGAAUAUAUCGUGUGCACUCUUGUGUGUACUGCCAUGUAUUUCACAGAAACAUGUUGACAACACUAUCAUGAAACAACAAAACUAAAAACAAAAGGAGACAAGUGGCCAUUAGAGAAAUUCCACUUUGGCAUUUCUGCGUUUUCUUUUUCAGUUGGUUUUUGCAUCACCAAGCUUAAUUCUGGAGUGCUGAAUGCAUUAAAAAAAAAAAGUGCUACAGGUAGGCUGCAGGGUAUACCAAAGAGAGACAAUGAGGAGACGAUGAAACUCCAAAAGAAUGGAACAAGAGACAUAGCCAGGAACUCAAACAGAGAACACAGGAAGGUGAACAGAAGGUCUGACAAAAACAAAAAGCAAAGGAGAGACACAGGUGUCUUUAGGGCACGGCAGAACAAACCACCGGUUGCUAAGUGGUUGCCAGGUGGUGGUGAGUGGUUGCUGAUAUCACUAGGUGAAGAUGAUUGCAAAGAAGAUGCAGCACCAACAACCUCCUUGUGAUGACUUUGAUUUCCAACAGAUUGCAUUAAAGAUACAGACUCGUCUUUAAUAAGCACUCAGCAAAAAAGCCAAAUGAUAAUGAAACUUGGAGAAAUAGAUUGCUGAAAAUAUGCAGGCCCUGAGUCCAGUCGCUGAAACCUGUUAACCACCAGCCUUUUGUAACAUGUUGGUUGCAGCAGUAAGUCACAACUUUUACUUUAAAGUCUUAAUUUCUGGUUUAUGGUGCUCUCUUUACAGUUAACAAGAAGUUGAUAAGAGUUUGCAGACAAGUUGGAGUCUUCCUCACAAACAAAGGGCAACCAUAAUAUUCUGAUAGCAACCGAUUUUGUGACCGACUUCCUCUAGCGACUAGCGGUUAGCAGGAGUUCAGUGACUGGUGUCUAGACCUGGGCUUCAGCAUUUGAUCUAACAGUGACUGCCAGGAACCUCCAGCGCCCACUCAUAACUGUUUGGAGAUUACUCAUUUUUCCCCCGUGACUGGUGUUUGUCAGGGUGUCACUGACGGAUCUCUAUGUCUCUGUGACUGGGCCUUAAGAGAAAAAC